CCUACGGGUGGCGGCAGUGGGGAAUAUUGGGCAAUGGGCGCAAGCCUGACCCAGCAACGCCGCGUGAAGGAAGAAGGCUUUCGGGUUGUAAACUUCUUUUGACAGGGAAGAGCAGAAGACGGCACCUGUCGAAUAAGCCACGGCUAACUACGGGCCAGCAGCCGCGGUAAUACGUAGGGGGCAAGCGUUGUCCGGAUUUACUGGGUGUAAAGGGCGUGUAGCCGGGCUGACAAGUCAGAUGUGAAAUCCGGGGGCUCAACCCCCGAACUGCAUUUGAAACUGUUGGUCUUGAGUAUCGGAGAGGCAAGCGGAAUUCCUAGUGUAGCGGUGAAAUGCGUAGAUAUUAGGAGGAACACCAGUGGCGAAGGCGGCUUGCUGGACAGUAACUGACGUUGAGGCUCGAAAGCGUGGGGAGCAAACAGGAUUAGAUACCCUUGUAGUC
rnacentral:rRNA from 1 species